rfam:Tupaia chinensis contig80151, whole genome shotgun sequence.
AUUGCUUCUCGCCUUUUGGCUAAGAUCAAGUGUGGUAUCUGUUUUUUUCAGAUGACUAUCUGGUAUGUCCUCUGAGGACAAUAUAUUAAGUGGGCUUUUGGAGCAGGGUGAUGGAAUAGGAGGCUACUCCAUCAACUCCAUGCACGUUUCUGGUGUAGUACUUCCAGGAAUGGUGUGGCCUGC